GCACUUCUCCUUUUGGCGCUCGUGUACCGAUUAGCCUUAGCGUUUAAAAGCACAUCCUGAUCUUGAUAUAAAAAGUUGAUUUCUUUGAUGUAAAAAGGAAAUGAUAUGCACGAACUUAAGUGUGUGUUGUUUUUUCGUGUAAGGAAAUUGUUAAAUGGUGAUAAAGAUGGCGCGAGCAGUCAAAGGUCUCUGCACGAUUUGCAUUGCCACGCAUGCGAGGGACUCGCGUAUUUGCAAAUAUAAUUGCACCGGUUCGAUACGCGAGCUUUUUCACCCGGGCUGACCUCGAUCGCAUACAGGAUUAUUACAGUGAUUCCUCGAUCGAGGUAAUUAAUUCCGUUCUGUUCGACGAUAUCUUGGAAAACGGUUCUUGGUGGUCGAUACUUUCGUGAAGAGAAUAAUUCGAUUCCUUGAAGAUCGACUUUGAAUUACAAUUAUGAGAAGAUUACUGAUGCCAAUUUCUAGAAACAACACAGAUUCAUAAACAAAAAAAACAAACUCUUUAUCUUAUAAGAACAACUAUCUUAUUCGCAGCUUAGAAUUAACCUUGAUCUAUUCUACAUAGAUACAGUAGGAUCGAAAUUGGAGAAAUUAGCAAGACCGUUUCUCAUCGAUCACGAUAUUCAAUUAUCUACACCACGUACGUGUUUGCCAUUAUCUCGAACAUGGUUGAAACACGAGUUACAUGGUGGUGUACAAAUUCGAAACGGCAGUCCGGCACCGAGGUAGUCGGACCACCCUGUACAUAAAUAGAAGGAGGCACUACGACGUGCGCGUACGAGCGGUCCGUCCGAGUUUCUACGUUCUCUAGAGCGGCGAAGGUCACAGUUAAUCGACCGCGAGAUACAUAGUCACUCUGGUUACACCGAGAAAAGUAACGACUAGUAUAAUUGCGGCCCUUCGUUUCCGUUUCGCCAACGUACCGGCAACGCACAAUUUCCACCGGCGAAACGAUCGAGCCUCGUACUAUCGUUUUCUGUCGAACGCAGAUGGAAAGGAAAAAGAAUAAAA